rnacentral:rRNA from 1 species
UACGGGGGGGGCAAGCGUUGUUCGGAAUUACUGGGCGUAAAGGGCUCGUAGGCGGCCAACUAAGUCGGAUGUGAAAUCCCCAGGCUUAACCUGGGAACUGCAUCCGAUACUGGAUGGCUUGAGUCCGGGAGAGGGAUGCGGAAUUCCAGGUGUAGCGGUGAAAUGCGUAGAUAUCGGGAGGAACACCAGUGGCGAAGGCGACUUCCUGGCCUGUUCUUGACGCUGAGGCGCGAAAGCUAGGGGAGCAAACGGG